UAAGAAGUAAUAGUGCAAUAAUGAGUACUGUCAAGUUAAGUGUAGCUUAUUAAGAUGUUGAUUAUGAGACGGUGGAUACUGCACAGCAAAGUUACCAGUAGAGAAGAGGCUUGCCUUACGUUCUUCAGCAAUAGCAGUAGUAGUAGCAAUAGAGUUUUUACACAGUCAAAUGAUCAAAUGUAGUAACUUUCUCAGUUAUUUCACUAGAACAGCACGUGAUGGUCAAAUCAUGUCACCUUGCCCAGAAUCUAAUGCCUAAGACAUUUAUUGUGCCAUCAGUCAUUGGAAUAGCUGCCCCCUUUACAUACGUCAAUCCUAUAGCAAAUCCUCAUUGUCAUGGAACAGGUGUACCAUUCCUAGAGUCUGUCUGUUUGUCCCCCGUUUGUUCCCCUCCUGUGUUUGUGUGUGUGUGUGUGUGUGUGUGUGUGUGCUGCGGGGCACGGCCUCCGGUGAACUUCCAAUCAGAGACUGACACACCUGCUACUCAUCUGCUGCUGCUCACCUGCUCUCCAUCCACCAUUCAACACCUGGCAGUAUAUCUCCCCGGCUCUUCUCACCAGUCUUUGCCAGAUCGUCCGUUUACCCAAGUGCUUUGUUCCUCUCACCUGCCUCCAAGUUACUCACCGACUUUCCAGGAAGACCUCAGCUCGGAUCUUCCGCUGCUCCACUUCAGCCUGCUGUCCUCACUCCGCCUGCCUGCCCUCACCAGUCUCUUGCCAGCCUGCUGUCUUCACCCAGUCCACCGGCUCACAGCGAUUACCUCCAUACUCCUGGUUACUCAUUGUGUUUUUACAAUAAACGGAAACUAACAACUUCAACUCCGUCUGUGCUAGUCGUGCUUUUGGGUGCAGCCCCUGUGUACCAUAACACUCAUUCAAAUACAAUUUAAGAAUGGAUUACAUAAGCAGCUGAUCAACAGUGUUGGUCAUGUUUAAUGUCUUGUUCUUGUUCCCUGGUGAUGGCCCCUGAGGCUAAUUCUGAGACUAAUUCAUUGAAGACGAUGUAAUUGAAUGUACAUUGGAAUGAAUGUUUGAGAAAAUUUGAACUUAAUGUAACACCAUUAGAGGUGCACUUGUGAUGAACGUAGCGUAAUACAAAUGUGAUGUUGCAUAUGUAUGAACAUGAUGUACUGGAUUUCGAACUCCAAUUAGACUAGCUGGUGCCAUUGGCGUCAGCUAAUGAGGAUCCUUUUAAAUAAAUACAGUCUACAAGAAUUUUGAUUUCAAGUAGCAUCACUAAUAUCUAGUUACUUGACUGAUCUGAUUGAAUCAGCAAAUUAGUCAAUUUCAUAGAUCAGUUAUUUUAAAAGUACCAAUCAAUUCUUGAAUCAUGACCAAAUAAAUGCAAACUAUGAUGCAACACUAAGCAAUACCCUUUAUUGUGUAGUUUAAUUUUGAUGAAUUGCUCUCAGGUUUACUUAAGUUUGAAUGUGAAUUCCAAAAAAACAUCAUGAAGCAGGAAAUCAGACAUUUACAGAUUACAUUAAUGUAUUUUAUUGAUGCCUUUCACUCUUUGCAGGAAGGUGAGUUUCAGUAAAACUUUACAUGUUCAAUGUUUGUACACAAUAAACCAUCUAAAUUAAAAUGAUACAACAGUUGUUUUUGUUAAACUCAUUAUUA